rnacentral:rRNA from 1 species
AAGAUAGCUGGUUCUCCCGAAAUCUAUUGAGGUAGAGCCUCGAGAAUUGUGUCUAGGAGGUAGAGCGACUGGAUGGGCGCGGGGGAGCGUAGCUCCUACCAACCCCAACCAAACUCCGAAUACCUAUGACAUGGACCUCGGGAGGCAGUCACUGAGCGAUAAUGUCCAGUGGCGAGAGGGAAAGAACCCAGAGCCACAGCUAAGGUCCCAAAGUGGCCGCUCAGUAUAGCGAAGGAUGUGUUUUUACUUUGACAACUGGGAGGUUGGCUUAGAAGCAGCCAUUCCUUGAAAGAGUGCGUAACAGCUCACCAGUCCAGUGAAAAUGCGCCGAGAAUGGUCGGGAUUAAGCGGCCCGCCGAAGCUUGGCCUUCAUACUUUGUAUGAGGGGUAGGGGAGCGUUCUGUUAGCUGUGAAGGCAUGAGGGAACUCAUGUUGGAGCGAACAGAAGUGAGGAUGCCGGACUGAGUACGCGCAAAUGCGGGUGAAAACCCCGCACACCGUAAGCCCAAGGAUUCCUGCGCCAUGGCAAUCAGCGCAGGGUGAGGCGGACCCUAAGGCGAGGCCCCAGAGGCGUAGUCGAUGGAUAGCCGGUUAAAAUUCCGGCCCUGUCCGCAGUGCGUUAUUACCUACAGAGGGACCCUGAAACGAAGCGCGAGCGGUUUUGUGGAUUGACCGUUCAAAGGUGUAGGGCAACCGAGACCUGAAUACGAGAGCACGGGGGCAACUCCAAGCUCGAGUCGCGUAGAGUCGGCAGGCUAGAAAAGCUCUGUUUGGGAGUGCUGCGAACAACCGUACCGCAAACCGACACAGGUGGGCAAGGCGAGUAGCCUAAGGUGAACGAGUGAAACGUGGUCAAGGAACUCGGCAUAAUGAUCCCGUAACUUCGGAAGAAGGGAUGCCAGUUUGGGUAGCCAGCUUCGCGCUGGUCGCUCUUUCUGGUCGCAGAGAAUCGACUCAAGCGACUGUUUAGCAAAAACACAGGUGCGUGCUAAGCCGCGUAAGGCGCCGUAUACGCACUGACGCCUGCCCGGUGCCGGAAGGUUAAGGGGAGAUGUUAGCCGCAAGGCGAAGCAUUGAGCCGAAGCCCCGGUAAACGGCGGCCGUAACGAUAACGGUCCUAAGGUAGCGAAAUUCCUUGUCGGGUAAGUUCCGACCUGCACGAAUGGCGUAACGACUUGAGUACUGUCUCGACCACGUGCUCGGCGAAAUGGCAGUAUCGGUGAGGAUUCCGAUUUUCCCGCAGCAGGACAAAAAGACCCCAUGCACCUUUACUGUAGCUUGCCAUUGGACGUCGCACGUGACUGUGUAGCAUAGGUGGGAGCCUUUGAGGCCCGGGCGCUAGCUCGGGAUUAGGCAUCAGUGAAAUACCACCCUGGCUCUUGUAACGUCCUCACCACGCUCUGGAAAACCCAGGCUGGGACCGUGGCAGGUGGGCAGUUUGACUGGGGCGGUCGAA